rnacentral:rRNA from 1 species
UACGUAGGGGGCGAGCGUUGUCCGGAUUUAUUGGGCGUAAAGAGCUCGUAGGCGGUUCGAUAAGUCGGACGUGAAAUCUCCACGCCUCAACGUGGAGGGCCGUUCGAUACUGUCGUGACUCGAGUCCGGUAGGGGAGUGUGGAAUUCCCGGUGUAGCGGUGAAAUGCGCAGAGAUCGGGAGGAACACCCGUAGCGAAGGCGGCACUCUGGGCCGGUACUGACGCUGAGGAGCGAAAGCGUGGGGAGCAAACAGGG